UACGGAGGGGGCUAGCGUUGUUCGGAAUUACUGGGCGUAAAGGGCGCGUAGGCGGCGCGAUAAGUUGGGCGUGAAAGGCCCGGGCUCAACCCGGGGACUGCGCUUGAUACUGUCGCGCUGUGAGUCCGGGAGAGGAUGGCGGAAUUCCCAGUGUAGAGGUGAAAUUCGUAGAUAUUGGGAAGAACACCGGUGGCGAAGGCGGCCAUCUGGACCGGCACUGACACUGAGGCACGAAAGCGUGGGGAGCAAACAGG
rnacentral:rRNA from 1 species